CAAUCACUUAACAAGGAAGGUCAUUCUCUCUCCCUCCCUCUCUCCUACUCCACAAUGCAAAUAUUCAACACGAGGUUGAGCAGAAUCUCCUGGGCGACUUCAGUGGAUAUCUUGGAGGUCAUAGAGUCUGCAGUGUGACUGCACUGUCCCACUUUAAAGCGUGUCAAGAGGGCUUACACCCACAAAAGAAGGCAAACAACAAGCUGUUCAAGGUCAAGCCACAGGCCCCAGUUACUGCAACACUUAUGGCCUGAGCUGAUGAGGAAAGCAGAUGUGAUUUCUCUAAGUAUGUCAUACCCAGAAGUAGGACAGCAGCAAACCAAGGAGAAAAGCUACCUAGAGACUGCUAUAAAACAAGGCCAAUGCAGUGUGGGAAGUACCUUCAACUAGAGAACUCAUACAGGCACUUUAUAGCAGCAGGGGUGUGGUCAAGCUCUGUCUAGGGUAUUUUUAAUUCCAGUGAGGGGAGAUGACUCCAUGUCCUCCUCAAUAUCUUCCUCAGAUCCAGGGUUUCUGCGCCAUCGUGACAUCCUGGUAGUCAGUGAUGGGAAUGAGGACACUGGUACCAGGCUUUGGAGAGAGCAAAGCUGACGCUGUACUUUGUGUGAGUGUGUGUGUGUGUGUGUGUG
ensembl:lncRNA